GGGGCUGAGAAGGCGUGGGACGCCAAGGGUUAAGUCCCAGUCCGGGCAAUGGAAAGGGACCGUGAGUUCGCCGCCUGGGUGGAAUUCUAGCCUCCCAGAGCGGCCGGCAACCCUCACUGCCUGAGCCUUACUUGCCCCAUAGCCCGGCCCGCGAGCAACAGGCUCUGAGGCCGGGCUUCCCACCCCCGCGCCAGUGCUCCUCCGGCCACUGUGCUUGGUUGCAGGCGGACUGCUUGCGAGUGGGCCGUAGGGUCCCGCCAGUGUGUGCGCUCAGUCCGACGAGGCUCGGGAAUUCAAUAAAUUCAACAAUUGCGCUAGGUCCAGGACUUCCUGUAUAAAGCAGGUAUCCUCUGGCUUCAUGAACAUGAGUCUGGAACAAAUUAAAAGGAAAGCACUCUCUCGGUAUAUUACGGGCACCCACACACCUG